UGCUCACCCCUAACCCCUGCAUAUCAGAGUCACAAUGCAACACAUCCUUUUUCAAGGGUGUCUAAUGAUAAGCCUUUCAAUGCAGGUAUAUGUAUCAAAAUUAAGGUUGCAUUUUAUAUUCCUCCCAAAAUAGUGUUGAUUGUGUUUUUUUGCAAAUUAGGUUCAACACCAUGGGGAUCAGUGAAUACUCCCCUCGUAGUGGUGAAGGUAGCACAUCCAAUUUAGGUAAAGGUUUUAUUCUGCUUGCAAGUUUUCUUGGUUCGAAACGUUAUAUGCAACAAAGUUUUCAAGAUCCGCUUGCAAUAUGUCGUUACAUUGGCCAUCCCGACAUAUUCCUUACAAUGGCUACUAAUCCAAUGUGGGAUGAGAUAGUACAGAUGAUGAAUAAUUUGCCUGGUUGUUUGACGGUUGAUUCCCCAGAUAUAAUUGCCCGUGUUUUUAAGCUUAAACUUGAUCAGAUUGUUGAAGACAUAAAGAAUAAGGCAUAUUUUGAAGUGUGUGUUGCAAUCAUGUACGUUGUUGAGUUUUAAAAGCGAGGUUUGUCCCAUGUGCAUAUGUUGAUCUAGCUUGACGGAGAUUCGAAGAAGAAUCUCAAUGCCAAUGUUGAUAAAUAUGUAUCAGCAGAAAUCCCUGAUCCAGAAAUAGAUCCACUUGGUUACAAUGUUGUUGCUCGCCAUAUGAUACACCGUACACGGCCCUUGUGGAGUAGAGAACACCAAGUCUCCAUGCAUGAAGGGCAUGAAGUGUACAAAACACUUCCACAAGAAGUACUGUCCCAGACUACUUUUGAUCAAUCGGGAUUUCCUAUUUACAAGCGUCGGUAUACUGAUAUUACAGUGAAGAAAGGAAAGUCCAUGCUUGACAACCAAUAUGUUGUGCCUUACAAUCGGGAUUUAUGGUGAAAUACCAACGCCAUAUGAACGUAGAAAUAUGUUGUCAUGCUCGGAAUCUCAAAUACAUGUUCAAGUACUGCCUUAAAGGCCAUGAUCGUGCUACGGUCAAGAUUUUAAAUAAAAGCACCUCAACUCAUCAUGAUGAUAAUGUUCCGAAAGAUGAAAUACAAGCAUAUUUUGAUGGGCGGUAUAUCUGUGGUGCUGAAGCAGCUUACCGGAUCUUUGGAUUUGAUGUACACUACCGAUCUAUCUCGGUUUUACGUUUAUCCUUCCACUUGCCCGGGAAACGUAACCGCGCUUUUCGAGAGGACGAAGAACUGCAAAAGGUUGUUGAUCGUGAGAAGUUUAAACGCAGUCAAUUGGAAGCAUUUUUCCAGUUAAAUAUUCAUGACCAUACUGCUCGCAAGUACACAUACGAUGAAAUUCCGAGAUACUAUGUAUGGAAUGAAGCAGACCAUGUAUGGACUGUUCGGAAGAAAGUGAACCAGAUUGGGAGGUUAUUAUAUACUCACCACAGCUCAGGUGAAAUUUGGUACAUGCGUUUGUUAUUGUCAAAAGUCUGUGGUCCUACAUCUUUCAAAUUUUUAAAAACUGUUGAUGGCGUCCUUUGCAAGACAUUUCAAGAAGCAUGUAAAAACAUGGUUUUUUAGAUGAUGAUAAUGAAUGGGAUGAGUUAAUGACCGAAUGUUCAAAAUGCGGGUUUCCUGGUCAGAUUAGAGAGCUAUUUGUACAUAUUAUUAUGAAUUGUCAAGUGUCUGAUAUUAGAGGUUUGUGGAACACACACUGGAAGGAAAUGUCUCACGACAUUCUGAUGCAGCAGACCAGAGACAAGCCACAGUCUGAUGGUUUUUUGAGUCAGAAACAAUUGGAAUAUAAAGUUCUUGCUGAGGUUGAUAAAUUACUCUGAUGCAUUGGAAAGUCACUAAAGCAAUUUGGUAUGAUACCCCAACCUCCUGCAGCAUAUCUCCAAACUGGUUGUGAUAAUCUGAUCAACGAUGAGACAAGUUAUGAUGUCCAAGUGAUGGAGGAAGAAUUUGGUAAGCUUUUCCCCAACUAUAAUGCUGAACAACUUGAGGUUUACAAUGCAGUAAUGGAUUCAGUUGAUAAGGGCUAAGGGGGUUUUUUUUGUUUAUGGUAGCGGGGGUUGUGGUAAGGCUUACGUUUGGAAGACACUAAUAUAUAAGCUUAGAUCACAAGGAAAGAUUGUCCUGCCGGUAGCAUCUUCUGGCAUCGCUGCAACUUUAAUGCCCGGAGGGCGUACUGCUCAUUCGCAUUUUAAAAUCCCAAUUGUCUUAUAUGAGGAUUCUUCUAGCUCAAUAUCUCAUAAUUCAGAUAUUGCUGAGCUUAUCAAACGCAAUAGUCUUAUUAUCUGGGAUGAAGCUCCUAUGCAGCACAGGUAUGCGUUCGAAUGCCUAGAUCGUUCAAUGAGAGUAAUAAUGAAAUCAGUGAGCAAGGAGCAGGCUUUACUGCCUUUUGGACGCAUCACGGUUCUGCUUGGUGGUGAUUUUAGGCAGAUUCUCCCAGUUAUAUCACUUGGUGACAGGGCUGAUAUUGUAUCUGCAUGCAUUACACGUUCAAGAUUAUGGCGUGCAGCCACUAUUUUUAUCCUGAAGCAAAACAUGCGCCUUAACCAAGGCAAUACUGAAGAGGAAAGACAAAAUUAGAAGUUUUUUGCCGACUGGGUCCUUAAGAUUGGAGAUGGUAAGGUUCAUCAUCCCGAGGGUGAUUUGGAAACUUAUGAAGAGAAUGACAUUGUUAUUCCAACAAAAUUCUGUGAUGUGCAAGUGCAGAACACAGUAGAGAACAGGAUUAAAUGGACAUAUCCCAAUUUCUCCAAAAAUUACCAAAAUCCCAAGUAUCUUAGUGAGCGUGUAAUUUUGACACCUACCAACCAAAAUAUUGGGCAUCUAAACUCUGCUAUUGUCGACACUAUUCCAAGUGAAAUUUACACGUAUUACAGCAUUGACAAAGCUGAAGAUUUUGGGGGUACAUCGUCUGAUCUGGACUUUGCCUUUCCUCCAGAAUAUCUUAAUUCAUUUAACAUUCCUGGCCUUCCCCCACAUGAACUAAAGCUCAAAGUCGGUGUUGCUAUCAUGCUCAUGCGCAAUUUGAAUCAGACUCUUGGUCUUUGCAAUGGAACACGUAUGAUGGUUACCAACUGUUUGAAGCAUUGUGUACAAUGUGAGGUAAUCUAUGGUGCCUUUGUUGGAACCAGACAUUUUAUUCCACGAAUGGAACUAUGUCCUAGUGAGUCCAAGCUGCCUUUCAAGCUAUUACAGAAGCAAAUGCCUUUACAGAUAUGCUACUCGAUGACUAUUAACAAAGCUUAGGGUCAGUCCCUUCAAAUAGUUGGAUUAUUUCUACCAAAACCAGUUUUUACUCAUGGCCAACUGUACGUUGCCUUGAGUAGGGUAACAUCUCAGAAGGCAUAAAAAUCUUCAUUGAUGCAAACAAUGGUAAAUCUACCAAUGUGACCAAAAAUAUUGUAUAUCAUGAAGUAUUCUACAAUUUGCCGGUUA